GAAACGCGAUACGUGAUGCGAAUCGCGGGAACCAGCGAGCCAUCCAAUCUUCGAACGCACCUUGCGCUCCCGGUACCCCCGGGAGCACGCCUGUCCGAGUGUCGUCCCCAAGACCCGUCGCCUUUCUUUCUCUUCUCUCUCUUUUCAUCGAGAGAGAGAGGGGUGUGAAAGGCUGCCCUGGGCUUGUCGCCGCCUGACUUCAUUUGUUUGGGUGGCGUCGCCCUAAGAACAGACUCAAAGGGGUUUUUCCUUCUUUGCAGGAUUUCUCCACUCAUGCCCUCUCUCUGUCCCUUCUCUUCUUCGCAAGAAGAGAGAAGAGAAAAAGAGUGCCUGGCAGUUAGCGGGAUCUUCACGAUUUCGCCACACCAAAGGGUCUCUUUUUUUCUUCUUUCCUUGGGAAGAGAAAGAGAGGAGCAAAAAGAGAAAAGGGAAACUUGCAAAAACAAAAAGGAUAAAACCAUUUCCCUUUUUUGUUAAACACUUUUUUUCAAAAACGACCGACCUCGGAUCAGACGUCAUCACCCGCCGGACUUAAGC
rnacentral:misc_RNA from 1 species